AGGGUUUGAUCCUGGCUCAGAACGUACGCUGGCGGCACGCCUAAUACAUGCAAGUCGAACGAAGUAGCAAUACUUAGUGGCAGACGGGUGAGUAACAUGUGGGUAUCUUCCCUUUGGUGAGGAAUAACACGAGGAAACUUGUGCUAAUACCUCAUAAGUCUUUACGGAGAAAGCUUUAUGCGCCAUUGGAUGAGCCCGCACUUGAUUAGUUUGUUGGUGGGGUAAUGGCCUACCAAGACUGUGAUCAAUAGCUGAUUUGAGAGGAUGAUCAGCCACAUUGGGACUGAGACACGGCCCAAACUCCUACGGGAGGCAGCAGUAGGGAAUCUUGCACAAUGGAGGAAACUCUGAUGCAGCGAUGCCGCGUGAGUGAAGAAGGCCUUUGGGUUGUAAAGCUCUUUCGUCGGGGAAGAAAAUGACUGUACCCGAAUAAGAAGGUCCGGCUAACUUCGUGCCAGCAGCCGCGGUAAUACGAAGGGACCUAGCGUAGUUCGGAAUUACUGGGCUUAAAGAGUUCGUAGGUGGUUAAAAAAGUUGGUGGUGAAAUCCCAGAGCUUAACUCUGGAACUGCCAUCAAAACUUUUUAGCUAGAGUAUGAUAGAGGAAAGCAGAAUUUCUAGUGUAGAGGUGAAAUUCGUAGAUAUUAGAAAGAAUACCAAUUGCGAAGGCAGCUUUCUGGAUCAUUACUGACACUGAGGAACGAAAGCAUGGGUAGCGAAGAGGAUUAGAUACCCUCGUAGUCCAUGCCGUAAACGAUGUGUGUUAGACGUUGGAAAUUUAUUUUCAGUGUCGCAGCGAAAGCGAUAAACACACCGCCUGGGGAGUACGACCGCAAGGUUAAAACUCAAAUGAAUUGACGGGGACCCGCACAAGUAGUGGAGCAUGUGGUUUAAUUCGAAGAUACGCGCAGAACCUUACCAACACUUGACAUGUUCGUCGCGACUCUAAGAGAUUAGAGUUUUCGGUUCGGCCGGACGAAACACAGGUGCUGCAUGGCUGUCGUCAGCUCGUGUCGUGAGAUGUUGGGUUAAGUCCCGCAACGAGCGCAACCCUCACUUUUAGUUGCCAUCAUUAAGUUGGGCACUCUGAAAGAACUGCCAGUGAUAAGCUGGAGGAAGGUGGGGAUGACGUCAAGUCCUCAUGGCCCUUACGUGUUGGGCUACACACGUGCUACAAUGGCAUCUACAACAGGAAGCAAAACGGCAACGUUAAGCGAAUCCCGAAAAGAUGCCUCAGUUCGGAUUGCACUCUGCAACUCGAGUGCAUGAAGCUGGAAUUACUAGUAAUCGCGGAUCAGCGCGCCGCGGUGAAUACGUUCCCGGGUCUUGUACACACCGCCCGUCACACCAUGGGAGUUGGUUCUACCUUAAGGCAAAGUUUAAAACCUUUGACCACGGUAUAGUCAGCGACUGGGGUGAAGUCGUAACAAGGUAGCCG
rnacentral:rRNA from 1 species